GUUGGAUUGGCCUCAUGAAGAGGGGAGUGAGACGUGCCUCAUUUUCCUCCAGAGUCUGUUAACCAAGAUGACAUUUUUCUGGGAACAAGAAGGAGUUGAAUCAAAACAGCUAACCUGUAAAUGGACCACUGAAAACCAGUCCCAGUUUCUAAUCCGGGAGAGGUGGUAUUCUGUGAGGCAUGCAUCACUUGGAAUGGUAAGCAUAACAUGUUCCAU
rnacentral:lncRNA from 1 species